GGCCAAUCAACUCAAUUUUGAUGUUUAUGAUUUGGAACUGACUGCUGUUAGGUGCAAUUCUGAUCUGAGGAAUUUGCUGAUUUCCACUUCCAAUAGAUCGAUCCUUGUGGUGGAAGACAUUGAUGCAUCCAUUGAUCUGACUCGGAGGAAAAGUAUGAUAGCUUCAAUGCCUCAUUACUACCAGCCGGAAGUCCCUAGGGUAAAAUAUUGAAUAAUAGUAUUAUUUUGAAAAAAAUCGAGUAACUAAACUUGAUGGUUUUCUCUGUUUUUUGAAGGUUACAUUGUCUGGAUUUCUGAACUUCAUAGACGGGCUGUGGUCGAGCGUUGGGGACGAACGGAUCAUCAUCUUCACGACGAACCACAAGGAGAAGCUGGACCCUGCUCUGCUGAGGCCGGG
rnacentral:lncRNA from 1 species